GUCUACGGCCAUACCACCCUGAACGCGCCCGAUCUCGUCUGAUCUCAGAAGCUAAGCAGGGUCGGGCCUGUACUUGGAUGGGAGAUCUAUAUAAUUGGAAAAAAACUCUACCUCAGGUG
ensembl:rRNA 5S_rRNA 5S ribosomal RNA